rnacentral:rRNA from 1 species
GUCUACGGCCAUACUACCCUGAACACACCCACUCCACUCUUGUCUGAUCUUGGAAGCUAAGCAGGGUCUGGCCUGGUUAGUACUUGAAUGGGAGACCACCUAGGAAUACCGGGGACUGUAGGCU